rnacentral:rRNA from 1 species
GACGAACGCUGGCGGCGUGCUUAACACAUGCAAGUCGAACGAAAAGACGGAAAGAGCUUGCUCUUUUCAGAAUUGAGUGGCAAACGGGUGAGUAACACGUAAACAACCUGCCUUCAGGAUGGGGACAACAGACGGAAACGACUGCUAAUACCGAAUAAGUUCCAAGAGCCGCAUGGCCCAUGGAAGAAAAGGUGGCCUCUACCUGUAAGCUAUCGCCUGAAGAGGGGUUUGCGUCUGAUUAGCUGGUUGGAGGGGUAACGGCCCACCAAGGCGACGAUCAGUAGCCGGUCUGAGAGGAUGAACGGCCACACUGGAACUGAGACACGGUCCAGACUCCUACGGGAGGCAGCAGUGGGGAAUCUUCCGCAAUGGGCGAAAGCCUGACGGAGCAACGCCGCGUGAGUGAUGACGGCCUUCGGGUUGUAAAACUCUGUGAUCCGGGACGAAAAGGCAGAGUGCGAAGAACAAACUGCAUUGACGGUACCGGAAAAGCAAGCCACGGCUAA